rnacentral:rRNA from 1 species
GACGAACGCUGGCGGCGUGCUUAACACAUGCAAGUCGUACGGUAAGGCCCUUUCGGGGGUACACGAGUGGCGAACGGGUGAGUAACACGUGAGUAACCUGCCCACAACUUUGGGAUAACGCUAGGAAACUGGUGCUAAUACUGGAUAUGUGCUCCUGCUGCAUGGUGGGGGUUGGAAAGCUCCGGCGGUUGUGGAUGGACUCGCGGCCUAUCAGCUUGUUGGUGGGGUAGUGGCCUACCAAGGCGGCGACGGGUAGCCGGCCUGAGAGGGUGACCGGCCACAUUGGGACUGAGAUACGGCCCAGACUCCUACGGGAGGCAGCAGUGGGGAAUAUUGCACAAUGGGCGCAAGCCUGAUGCAGCAACGCCGCGUGCGGGAUGACGGCCUUCGGGCUGUAAACCGCGUUCAGCAGGGACGAAGCUUUUUGUGACGGUACCUGCAGAAGAAGCACCGGCUAACUACGUG